GACGAACGCUGGCGGCGUGCCUAAUACAUGCAAGUAGAACGCUGAAGGGGGAGCUUGCUUCUCUGGAUGAGUUGCGCACGGGUGAGUAACGCGUAGGUAACCUGCCUGGUAGCGGGGGAUAACUAUUGGAAACGAUAGCUAAUACCGCAUAAGAGUAGAUGUUGCAUAACAUUUGCUUAAAAGGUGCAAUUGCAUCACUACCAGUUGGACCUGCGUUGUAUUAUCUAGUUGGUGGGGUAACGGCUCACCAAGGCGACGAUACAUCGCCGACCUGGGAGGGGGGUCGGCCACACUGGGACUGGGAAACCGCCCCGAAUCCUACGGGAAGCAGCAGUAGGGAAUCUUCGGGAAUGGACGGAAGUCUGACCGGGCAAAGCCGCGUGGGUGGAGAAGGUUUUCGGAUCGUAAAGAUCUGUUGUAAGAGAAGAACGAGUGUGAGAGUGGAAAGUUCACACUGUGACGGUAUCUUAUCAGAAAGGGACGGCUAACUACGUG
rnacentral:rRNA from 1 species